rnacentral:rRNA from 1 species
CCUACGGGGUGCAGCAGUGGGGAAUAUUUGGCAAUGGGCGCAAGCCUGACCCAGCAACGCCGCGUGAAGGAAGGAGGCUUUCCGGUUGUAAACUUCCUUUGAUAGGGAAGAGAAGAAGACGGUUCGUGUCGAAUAAGCAAUGGCUAACUACGUGCCAGCAGACGCGGUCAUUCGUAGGUGGCACGCGUUCUCCGGUGUUACUGGGUGUAAAGGGAGGGUAGCCGGGCUGUCACGUCAGGUGUGAAAUCCGGGGGCUCAACACCCGGACUGCAUUUGAGACUGUUGGUCUUGAGUAUCGGAGAGGCAGGCGGAAUUCCCAGUGUAGCGGUGAAAUGCGUAGAUAGUGAGAGGAACACCAGUGGCGAAGGCGGCCUGCUGGACGACAACUGACGGUGAGGCACGAAAGCGUGGGGAGCGAACAGGAUUAGAUACCCGUGUAGUC